rnacentral:rRNA from 1 species
GUGGAUUAGAUACCCCGGUAGUCCACGCCGUAAACGAUGGGUACUAGGUGUGGGAGGUAUCGACCCCUUCCGUGCCGCCGUUAACACAAUAAGUACCCCGCCUGGGGAGUACGGUCGCAAGAUUAAAACUCAAAGGAAUUGACGGGGGCCCGCACAAGCAGCGGAGCAUGUGGUUUAAUUCGAAGCAACGCGAAGAACCUUACCUAGACUUGACAUCUCCUGAAUUACCUGUAAUAAGGGAAGCCCUUCGGGGCAGGAAGACAGGUGGUGCACGGCCGUCGCCAGCU